AUUUGUUAUUUUGGGGUGUAUGCGGUGUGUGUGUGUGUGUGUGUGUGUGUGUGUGUGUGUGUGAUCUCAUAUUGGCACGUUAAAGCAAUGGAAAGAACACCGGACUGGUGUCCCAGAGGCUUGAGUCCAAAUCCUGUUCUGGGGAUUCUUAGCCAUGGGACACUAGUUAAGUCCCCUAGUCUCUGCAGGGUUCACAACUCUAAGAUGAAUGAAUUGUACUCUUUCAGGUCUUCUGACUCUUGAGUUCCGUGAUGUGUUAUUGACCUGAAGUCUGUUUUAUGAUUAAGCCAAGCGCCCAUUAUUAAAAUCCACAAAUGGAGUCUAUUAUACAUGCCUACAAAGGCAAAGCUGACUUCCAAGACCGUUGGCCUAAACUGAAAUUUCAAGCAAAACCUGGUGCUGCAAAUACUGUUGUUUCUUGCUCCUUUCCUGAGGUUGAGAGGAGGGAAGAGAAAAAAACUGAAGAGGAACAGAAAAGCAAGGAGAAGACAGAGGAGGAUACAAGAAAGGUGAGCCACAAGAAAAUAGAAUAAUAGGGGCGCCUGGGUGGCACAGCGGUUAAGCGUCUGCCUUCAGCUCAGAGCGUGAUCCCAGCGUUAUGGGAUCGAGCCCCACAUCAGGCUCUUCUGCUGUGGGCCUGCUUCUUCCUCUCCCAUUCCCCCUGCUUGUGUUCCCUCUCUCGCUGGCUGUCUCUAUCUCUGGUCAAAUAAAUAAAUAAAAUCUUAAAAAAAAAAAAAAAAGAAAAUAGAAUAAUAGCCUUGGCUCUUUGGUGAUUUACUAUUUAUAUAUAAGAAUCCACACAUACAAGAUUUUUUGCUUUUUAGCCAAAGCAUGUCCUUUAGAAAUUUAGGGGAUCCCUCCCUUCCCCUUAUUCAAUAUUCAGUGAAGAGAAAAUACUGGCUAGUUG
rnacentral:lncRNA from 1 species